rnacentral:sRNA from 1 species
CUUGGUCAUUUAGAGGAAGUAAAAGUCGUAACAAGGUUUCCGUAGGUGAACCUGCGGAAGGAUCAUUAGUGAAUUAAACAUGCUUGGUGUCUUCGCUUCGGCAAGGCCCUUGCUUAACUCACAUCCCAACACCUGUGAACUGUAAGGCGCAUGACUAGGUUCGCCCAAGUCAUCGUCUGCCCUUUUUAACAAACAAUUAAUGUAACAAACGUAGUCUUAUUAUAACCUAAUAAAACUUUCAACAACGGAUCUCUUGGCUCUCGCAUCGAUGAAGAACGCAGCGAAAUGCGAUAAGUAGUGUGAAUUGCAGAAUUCAGUGAAUCAUCGAAUCUUUGAACGCACCUUGCGCUCUUUGGUAUUCCGAAGAGCAUGCCUGUUUGAGUGUCAUGAAAAUAUCAACCUUGACUUGGGUUUUGUGCUCUAGUCUCGGCUUGGAAUUGGGUGCUUGCCGCUUUUACGAGCGGCUCACCUUAAAUGUAUUAGCUGGAUCUGUCUUUGAGACUUGGUUUGACUUGGCGUAAUAAGUAUUUCGCUAAGGACAUUCUUCGGAGUCGCCUCGUUUCUAGGACGCUUGUCCGCUUUCCAAUACAAGUUCCACCUUGUGGACAUGACUUUUUAUUAUCUGGCCUCAAAUCAGGUAGGACUACCCGCUGAACUUAAGCAUAUCAAUAAGCGGAGGAAAAGAAACUAACAAGGAUUCCCCUAGUAACGGCGAGUGAAGCGGGAAAAGCUCAAAUUUGAAAUCUGGCAGCCUCAGGUUGCCCGAGUUGUAAUCUAUAGAAACGUUUUCCGCGCCGGCCCAUGUACAAGUCCCUUGGAACAGGGCGUCAUAGAGGGUGAGAAUCCCGUCCUUGACACGGACCACCGGUGCUUUGUGAUACGUUUUCAACGAGUCGAGUUGUUUGGGAAU